CUUCAUUUCAUUUUACUUUCCAUUUAACUAGAAACCCUUCUUUUCAAAUCCCAUAGGACUAAUUCCAUAAUAAUUAUUCAAUACACAUUCAAAGUCCAUAAUCUCUCAUUAAUCCAUUUCAUUCAAUAAUUAACUUUUCUUUAAACCAAAACAUUUCAUUUAAUUCAAUUUCUAAUGCUCAUAUUCAUAUAUUCUUUUCAUGUUGAAUACUUUCACAUUCAAUUUCAAUUAACAUUUCAAAACAUUUUCCAACCAAGUUAAAACCAUUUCAACAUAACUUUUCAAAAAUCAUUUCAAACACUUUGACACCAUUUCAAACUUAACAUUCAAAUCCAUUUCAAUCCGUUAUUAAUCAACUUUUAUUCAAACCAUUUCAAAUGCAUUUUAAAUUAACUUUUAAUUAAUAUUUCAAUCCAUUUCAAAUUAAGUUUUAUUCAAACCAUUCCAAAUCCAUUUCAAAUUAGUAACUAACAGCAAUGCGAUUCAUAACAAAAAUUAAAGUUCAAAGUAACAGUUCACAAGCAGCUCAAACUAACUAACCUAACAUUGUUUCUAACUACAAUAACUAAUCUAACAGAGUUUACAUCAGCUUAACCAUAACAGAAAUCGGAUCUUCAACUAACUUGAAUUGUAAAUCCUAAUAGAUUUUUGACAAGAGAUUUAAUCCUAACUGAAUUGAACUUGGAUUAUUCAACAGAGUUAACACUCUGUUAAUUCAUUUCCUCUAUUUAUAGCAAACUUCAGUGCCAUUUGCAUCUCUCUCAUUGUUUGGCUAUCAAUCACACACUUCAAAUUCCCUCUCACUUCCCUCUCAAUCGAUCACUCAUCACAAUCAAACACACGCACACACAUACAGUAACCACAACGCAGAGGAAGAGCAGUAAGAACACAAACGUAAAAGAGAACAAGAAGAUGGUUGAUUCAGAAACAGAGGAAGAAGAAGGUCGUACCUAUUUUUGCCGCCGCGUCGAAACCAGUGAGUUUUUGCUUCCUUCCACAAUUCAUUAUCAUUGUUGGACUCGUGUCCGCUGAGGCUUGAAUUGAUCGAAUCAAGCGUUGAAAUUCUGAGAUGCGAAUGUAAUGCGGAGGAGGUUGAAGUUGUUGAGAUGGAAUCCUCGAGGCUCUAAAACAUGAUGCCUUGAUUCGAAGGUGAAGAAGAUGAGGAACUGAUGUUGAAUCCGUGAAUCACGCACGGACGUGAUUAUUAUGAACGUUGAAGCGUGAUGCUCGAUUGAAGCCACAUCACUAUUGAAUCACGUUUGACGAUGAUGGAGAUUGAAUUUUUGAAAGCUUUUUGAGGAACUCAGAUGUUAGUUUCGGACUUGAUUGUGAAAUUAUUAGAGCGGAUACAUGAAAACGCGGAAGAAGAAUUUCUGAGGAUGACUGAAGGACUGGGAUCGCGUUGUCAUGGCCGCUUCGCAGGGCAUCAAGGUUGAAGGUUGAAGUCUCCCUUUAGGGAUUUGAAAUAUUUUGGAUAAGAUGGCCAAGGAUUUGGGUGGGCCUUCAAUCAUUGCCCAAGUUUUUUCCUUCUACACCCUACGACACGUGAUCCACGCUCUCCUCUAUCCAACAGUUCAGUGCCUGGGCCUAAGGCCUCAUGACCAAACUUUUUUUCCUUGGCACACCUGCCUUG
rnacentral:lncRNA from 1 species